rnacentral:tRNA from 1 species
GCAUCUAUGGCUGAUUGGUUAAAAAUUGGCAAAUUCGUAGGUUCAAUUCCUAUUGGAUGCA